AACGUUGACAAAUUAUUCAACAGUUGCUCAACCGUUGAGUGUCGUGAACGCACCUAAUUCUUACAUUUUGAAAAAUCAGCAGCGGAGGGAUAGAUACAUAGUGCAAGUCAUUCAAAUGGGAAUGCGUCUUUUGCAAGGUAUUGAACAGGCUCCGGGAAAAGACACGUAUCAGUUGACUGUUAAACGUGUAGUAUGACCGUCCACUCCAUUAUUGCUAAACAUAACCUCACUGCAAUUGCUAGUAGCAGAAAGAAGAAAUAGAGGUGUCAUGGGCCGCUUUUAGCCGAGUCUAGUGACCCCUUUGACUAUAUAACUAUGGACUGCUAGCAGCUUACUUUUCCACGCAAUAAGUGUCUACAAACAUCUGCAGCGCCGCCAGUACCAAACACGGCAAAUGAUGGAACUCGUUGAGCAUAACGAAUGAUAACGAAGUAGACGUAUCUAGUAGCUAUAUAUUAUACCAUAUGAGAUAUAUAAUAACACGGCAAUUACAAACAAGAAAAUAAUAAAUAAAAAUGAAAUACUGUGUUGUCCAUUGGUGCAAUAAUUCUAUUCAUAAAGAGAAAAAGACAGGAAAGCAUGUGGCUUUAUUUGCAUUUCCAAAAAAUCUGGAACAUCGUAUGGGUGAAAGCAUUGAAAAAUGUGGCCAUAAAAACAAAUAGCAUUGUAUGUCAAGAACAUUUUAAUGAAACCUGUAUGUACAAAACUGGAUUGUCAUCAUUACGCUUGUACGAAGGAUCUGUACCAUCUAUAUUUCCACAUGUUUCUAAUUUAAGCAUAACAGAAAGUAUACACUGUAACGAAAACAAUAAUGCAUCUUCUGAAGUAUUGAUGGAAGAUGAAUCAACAAUUGGUUCUCAUCAAGGACAAACACAAGAUGAUAUGACAUAUUCAACAAAAACCAAUACUGUGGCGUCAAGUGAUAAAUGUUUAAUAAGAUAUCCAGGAGAUAUUACAACCGAACAAGUGGCAAACAUGUCGUCAAGUAGUUUAAGGAAGUUUAAUUAUUAAAUUAUUAAAAAAGAUUACUUGCGAAACAUGUCUUUAUCUUUUUAACGAAUGUACAGUUAUGAAGUCUACAUUCAUAGAAUGAAAAAGCUGUGGAUAUUUACAUUAUCCACGAGAAGAUACAUAUAAACUCAUUGUUGCCGCUGAUAAAGUUUUUAAUUUUUAUAAAUUACAGAAUAAUUUGUAUAAGAAAAAUGCAUGCCAAGAAAUAAUUAUAAAAACAAUACGUAAUAUUGAUAUGGAUAAGAAUGUUAUAUACAGAUUCUUAUGAAUUAUGAAGGGAAAUUAAUGAGCCAAAAUAUUGAGUACAUCAGACAUCAGUUUACAAAAAUUAUUUUAUUCAAAGGAAUGAAAAGUGCGAUGAUAGUUCUAAUAAUGGCCGUGUUUGGUACUGGCGGCGCUGCAGAUGUUCAUAGAUGCCCAAAGUCAUUGCUAGCAGUCCAUAGUUAUAUAGUCAAGGAGUGACCCUCGAAUAGGAGUCCGGUCAAUCUUUAGUUUUAAAGCAAAAUGGCGUCGAUAGUUAUAGAUGACUUUGCUGUCACGACGUAAAGCUAAGAGACCAUAACCUAUAUUUAGUUCUUAUUAAUCGUGUUUAGUUUAUAUUUAUUUAUUAUAAUAUAAAAUGACUGGUUGCUGUGUUCCGGAAUGCAAAAACAGCAGCAAGAAAGGUUUUUCACUAAGACGAUUUUCAUGUAACCCGGACUGAAAGGCAUUAUAGAUAACAAAAAUGAAUAGAAAAAAUUGGGAAUCUACGCCCAACUCACACAUUUGUGAAGUUAAUUUUUCUGAGGAUAUGUGGAAGAAACCUCGAAUUGAUGAAAAAAGAAAAUUAAAAUCUCAUGCAAUACCAACCAUGUUUCUCAAUGUCUAACCAAUAGAAGAAAACAAGAAAUCUGCUCAUACAAGUAAUCAUCUCGAAGAUAUUACAACUGUAUUGGAUACACCAAUUGAAGCUUCAACAAUA